GAUGAACGCUGGCGGCGUGCCUAUACAUGCCAGUCGAGCGAACGGACUAGAAGCUUGCUUCUCUGAUGUUAGCGGCGGACGGGUGAGUAACACGUGGAUAACCUACCUAUAAGACUGGGAUAACUUCGGGAAACCGUAGCUAAUACCGGAUAAUAUUUUGAACCGCAUGGUUCAAAAGUGAAAGGCGGUCUUGCUGUCACUUAUAGAUGGAUCCGCGCUGCAUUAGCUAGUUGGUAAGGUAACGGCUUACCAAGGCAACGAUGCAUAGCCGACCUGAGAGGGUGAUCGGCCACACUGGAACUGAGACACGGUCCAGACUCCUACGGGAGGCAGCAGUAGGGAAUCUUCCGCAAUGGGCGAAAGCCUGACGGAGCAACGCCGCGUGAGUGAUGAAGGUCUUCGGAUCGUAAAACUCUGUUAUUAGGGAAGAACAUAUGUGUAAGUAACUGUGCACAUCUUGACGGUACCUAAUCAGAAAGCCACGGCUAACUACGUG
rnacentral:rRNA from 1 species